AACGCACAUUGCGCCCUCUGGUAUUCCGGAGGGCAUGCCUGUCUGAGCGUCAAUAUAACAUCGAACACCAGUUUGGUCUUGGAAGAAGAGAUGGCAACGUCUCCCUUCUGUAAAUCAUUGAGCAGCGGUCCAAGCUAUGCGACGUAGUAAGCACAAAUCUCGUCGAACUGUAGCCUUGUGACUGUUUGCCAUAACCCAAAUAUAUCAUUGUUUGACCUCAGAUCAGGUAGGGAUACCCCCUGAACUUAA
rnacentral:misc_RNA from 1 species